UCGAGCACUUCAGAAGAUCACACUUUCAUCUACGAAAUUAAAUAUUAAAUAAGGGCAUUUUCAUUGUGUUGUUGACGACGACAUUGUCAACGUAUAAAAUACAAGAGACAAGAAACAAGAAACAAUCCAAAGAAACAAGCCAAAAUAUCUGUGCAACACAUCAUCGCAAUCUAUAAAACAGAGAUUUUGUCGUGGUGACAAAUUUGAAUAUCGCCUUAAAGAGAGCAAUUGCCAUAGCGAAUGGACUGAAACCAAAUAAAAACCACGAAACCCUAGAUAAAACC